AACUUUUAGCAACGGAUCUCUUGGCUCUCGCAUCGAUGAAGAACGCAGCGAAAUGCGAUAAGUACUGUGAAUUGCAGAAUUCAGUGAAUCAUCGAAUCUUUGAACGCACCUUGCACCCUUUGGCAUUCCGAAGGGUAUGCUCGUUUGAGUGUCAUUGUACUCUCACACUCCCGAUGCUUUUGGAUUGGGAGUGGUGGACUUGGGUGUUGCUGCUUUACUGUGGCUCACCUCAAAUGGAGUAGUGCAACUCUUGGUUGGACAUAGUACGGCGUGAUAAGUGUCUUCGCCGGCGCCUCAUUAGAGGGUGGCCGAUCGGGAGCUCUGUGCUUCAAACCUUCUUCGGACAACAUCUGACAACUUGACCUCAAAUCGAGUAGGACUACCCGCUGAACUUAAGCAUAUCAAUAAGCGGAGGCU
rnacentral:misc_RNA from 1 species